UGGAAUGUUUGGGGUGACAGUCCACUGCUGAUCAGUUGUGCUGGGCACUCCCCAGAGCAGCCUUGUGGCUGAGUGUGGAUGAAGCCCUGGGGAGGCUCUCCAGGCACAGAAUGGUCUUGGUGGGAUCUCCUGCCCUGGAGAACCCCUCCUGGAGACAAAGCUGUGGUGGUGGCUUUAGGACAAGGUCUUUUUAUACCAGGAAGGAGACAGAGAGAAGAAAGUUACUGGUUACAUAAUGAAAGUAAUGGGAGUUCAGCAAAGGAAUUUCAGAGACCAGGAUCCAGAGCAAAGUUUAACAGGGAAGAUCCAAACAGGGAGACUGGUGAUUAUUUGUGUGCUCUUCUGACAGUGACCUCUGCGAAGAAGCUGACUAUGACCAGCAAAUCUUGUGCCAAGUCCAGAAUGAUCCCUCUUUGCACUGGGUGCUUUCUGAUCCUACUGGGAAAAUAUCUUAAAAAUUAGCACAAGAAGCAAGUGGAUCCUUACAGAAAAAUACAGCAGAGACUUCACAGAUUUGAGUUUCCUUCCUGUUGGUAGAAUGUGGAUAACACGGAGAGAAGUGACUCAGAUUCAUCAUAGGAAAAUAUCACGUGUGGUAACCCUCAGGUGGAACUUUGCUCAAGCUGAAGCAUGGGAUGUGCAAGGUGCCAAACUGCUUUUAUUCCUUGCUUCCAUGGGUUCAUUAAGUGCUGUUUUCACCUCCUUCUCAGCCAAAUUAAAGGGUCAGUGUAAAGGGAGUAAACACACAGAAUUGCUGAGAGUGUCUUUGACUAAAAUGGGAGAAAAUAUGACCCUAAGGUUUUUUGGAUGUUAAACCCAUCUUCUAUGCUUGUUUUUCAGAGCAGAGUUGAAGGUCCUGAUGGAAGCAGGAUGAAUUCAGAUGGC